rnacentral:rRNA from 1 species
UACAGGGGUCCCAAGCGUUGUUCGGAUUCACUGGGCGUAAAGGGUGCGUAGGUGGCGAAGUAAGUCGCAUGUGAAAUCUCGGAGCUCAACUCCGAAACUGCAUUGGAAACUACUUUGCUCGAGGGUCGGAGGGGGGACUGGAAUUCUCGGUGUAGCAGUGAAAUGCGUAGAUAUCGAGAGGAACAUCAGUGGCGAAGGCGAGUCCCUGGACGACUCCUGACACUGAGGCACGAAAGCUAGGGGAGCAAACAGG